AUGUAAUCUUAGCGGCGGACGGGUGAGUAACGCGUAGGCAACCUGCCUUGCACAGAGGGAUAACACUGGGAGGGUGGUGCUAAUACCACAUAAAAUCAUAACAAGGCAUCUUGAAAUGAUCAAAGGAGAAAUCCGGUGCAAGAUGGGCCUGCGUCCGAUUAGCUAGUUGGUGAGGUAACGGCUCACCAAGGCGACGAUCGGUAGCCGAACUGUGAGGUUGAUCGGCCACAUUGGGACUGAGACACGGNCCAGACUCCUACGGGAGGCAGCAGUGGGGAAUAUUGCGCAAUGGGGGAAACCCUGACGCAGCAACGCCGCGUGAAGGAAGAAGGCCUUCGGGUUGUAAACUUUUUNGAUUGGGGAAGAAAAAAAUGACGGUACCCAAGGAACAAGCCACGGCUAACUACGUGCCAGCAGCCGCGGUAAUACGUAGGUGGCGAGCGUUGUCCGGAAUUACUGGGUGUGAAGGGCGUGUAGGCGGGAUUGUAAGUCAGAUGUGAAAUUCCAGGGCUUAACUCUGGAGGUGCAUCUGAAACUAUAAUUCUUGAGUGCUGGAGAGGAAAGCGGAAUUCCUAGUGUAGCGGAGACAUGCGUAGAUAUUAGGAAGAACACCAGUGGCGAAGCCGGCUGUCUGGACAGUAACUGACGCUGAGGCGCGAAAGCGUGGGGAGCAAACAGGAUUAGAUACCCUGGUAGUCCACGCUCGUAAACGAUGGAUACUAGGUGUAGGAGGUAUCGACCCCUUCUGUGCCGGAGUUAACACAAUAAGUAUCCCACCUGGGGAGUACGGCCGCAAGGCUGAAACUCAAAGGAAUUGACGGGGGCCCGCACAAGCAGUGGAGUAUGUGGUUUAAUUCGAAGCAACGCGAAGAACCGUACCAGGGCUCGACAUCCCGCGAAGAACAGAGAGAUAUGUUAGUCCUUCGGGACGAGGAGACAGGUGGUGCAUGGUUGUCGUCAGCUCGUGUCGUGAGAUGUUGGGUUAAGUCCCGCAACGAGCGC
rnacentral:rRNA from 1 species